AUUGAACGCUGGCGGCAGGCCUAACACAUGCAAGUCGAGCGAGCGGCGGACGGGUGAGUAAUGUAUGGGGACUGCCCGAUAGAGGGGGAUAACUACUGGAAACGGUAGCUAAUACCGCAUACUAUCGGAUAACCCAUAUGGGAUUAGCUAGUAGGUGAGGUAAUGGAUCACGUAGGCGACGAUCCCUAGCUGGUCUGAUAGGAUGAUCAGCCACGAUGGGACUGAGGCACGGUCCAGACUCCUACGGAGGCAGCAGUGGGGAAUAUAGCACGAUGGGCGCAAGCCUGAGGAAGCCAUGCCGCGUGUAUGAAGAAGGCCCUAGGGUUAUAAAGUACUUUCAGUCGGGAGGCGUUACCGACAGAAGGAGCACCGGCUAACUCCGUGCCAGCAGCCGCGGUAAUGC
rnacentral:rRNA from 1 species